CUUAACACAUGCAAGUCGAGCGGAAACGAAGGUAGCUUGCUACCAGGCGUCGAGCGGCGGACGGGUGAGUAACGCGUAGGAAUCUGCCUGAUAGUGGGGGAUAGCCCGAGGAAACUCGGAUUAAUACCGCAUGAGCCUUGAGGGGAAAGCAGGGGAUCUUAGGACCUUGCGCUAUCAGAUGAGCCUGCGUGAGAUUAGCUAGUUGGUGAGGUAAGGGCUCACCAAGGCGACGAUCUCUAGCUGGUCUGAGAGGAUGACCAGUCACACUGGGACUGAGACACGGCCCAGACUCUUACGGGAGGCAGCAGCAGGGAAUAUUGGACAAUGGGGGCAACCCUGAUCCAGCCAUGCCGCGUGUGUGAAGAAGGCCUUAGGGUUGUAAAGCACUUUCAGUGGGGAGGAAAGCUACCGGAGUAAUAUGCUGGUAGUAUGACGUUACCUACAGAAGAAGCACCGGCUAACUCUGUGCCAGCAGCCGCGGUAAUACAGAGGGUGCGAGCGUUAAUCGGAAUAACUGGGCGUAAAGCGCACGUAGGUGGUUUGUUAAGUGGGAUGUGAAAUCCCAGGGCUCAACCCUGGAAUGGCAUCUCAAACUGGCAAGCUAGAGUACGAGAGAGGAGUGUGGAAUUUCCGGUGUAGCGGUGAAAUGCGUAGAGAUCGGAAGGAACAUCAGUGGCGAAGGCGACACUCUGGCUUGAUACUGACACUGAGGAGCGAAAGCGUGGGGAGCAAACAGGAUUAGAUACCCUGGUAGUCCACGCUGUAAACGAUGUCUACUAGCCGUUGGGUUGUAAAGACUUAGUGGCGCAGCUAACGCGAUAAGUAGACCGCCUGGGGAGUACGGUCGCAA
rnacentral:rRNA from 1 species